rnacentral:rRNA from 1 species
ACAGCAGUCGCCACGGUAACACGGAGGGCGCAAGCGUUAAUCGGAAUUACUGGGCGUAAAGCGCACGCAGGCGGUUUGUUAAGUCUGCUGUGAAAUCCCCGGGCUCAACCUGGGAAUGGCAGUGGAUACUGGCAAGCUAGAGUGUGUCAGAGGAUGGUGGAAUUCCCGGUGUAGCGGUGAAAUGCGUAGAGAUCGGGAGGAACAUCAGUGGCGAAGGCGGCCAUCUGGGACAACACUGACGCUGAGGCACGAAAGCGUGGGGAGCAAACAGGAUUAGAUACCCCUGUAGUCCCUGUCUCUUAUAC